rnacentral:rRNA from 1 species
UACGUAGGGCGCAAGCGUUGUCCGGAAUUAUUGGGCGUAAAGAGCUCGUAGGCGGUCUGUCGCGUCGGAUGUGAAAGCCCGGGGCUUAACCCCGGGUCUGCAUUCGAUACGGGCAGACUAGAGUGUGGUAGGGGAGAUCGGAAUUCCUGGUGUAGCGGUGAAAUGCGCAGAUAUCAGGAGGAACACCGGUGGCGAAGGCGGAUCUCUGGGCCAGUACUGACGCUGAGGAGCGAAAGCAUGGGGAGCGAACAGG